rnacentral:rRNA from 1 species
AUUGCCCUAGUAACGGCGAGUGAAGCGGCAACAGCUCAAAUUUGAAAUCUGGCCUUCUGGUCCGAAUUGUAAUUUGUAGAGGAUGUUUUUGGUGCGGUACCUUCCGAGUUCCUUGGAACAGGACGCCUUAGAGGGUGAGAGCCCCGUACGGUUGGAUACCUAGCCUGUGUAAAACUCCUUCGACGAGUCGAGUAGUUUGGGAAUGCUGCUCUAAAUGGGAGGUAAAUUUCUUCUAAAGCUAAAUACUGGCCAGAGACCGAUAGCGCACAAGUAGAGUGAUCGAAAGAUGAAAAGCACUUUGAAAAGAGGGUUAAAUAGCACGUGAAAUUGUUGAAAGGGAAGGAUUCAUGACCAGACUUAAGCUCGGCGGAUCAUCCGGUGUUCUCACCGGUGCUCUUCGCCGGGUCUAGGCCAGCAUCGGUUUUUGGAGAAGGAUAAAAGCUUCAGGAAUGUGGCCCCCUCGGGGGUGUUAUAGCCUGUUGUAUAAUACUUCUCCGGGGACCGAGGUUCGCGCUUCUGCAAGGAUGCUGGCGUAAUGGUUAUCAAUCACCCGUCUUGAAACACGGACCAAGGAGUCGAACAUUUAUGCGAGUGUUUGGGUGCUAAACCCUCACGCGUAAUGAAAGUGAACGGAGGUGAGAGCCCUUAAGGGUGCAUCAUCGACCGAUCCUGAAGUUUUCGGAUGGAUUUGAGUAAGAGCAUAACUGUUCGGACCCGAAAGAUGGUGAACUAUGCGUGGAUAGGGUGAAGCCAGAGGAAACUCUGGUGGAGGCUCGCAGCGGUUCUGACGUGCAAAUCGAUCGUCAAAUCUGCGCAUGGGGGCGAAAGACUAAUCGAACCAUCUAGUAGCU